AGUUCUGUGUGUUUUGUGACACAAAGUACAUGGAGGUACUGCAGCAUUUGAGCAUCAGAUGGCUCAGUUUGGACCUCGCUGUGAAUCGUAUACUCCGUCUCUACAAUGCUGUAAAGAGCUGCUUUAGAGCAUUUUGUGGAGCGACUCCACAGAUGAAAGGCAAGCCAGAUUUGUGAGACUCCAUGCCUGUUUUCAGGAUCCAACCACUGAAGUUCAUAAAGACCAUUCAACAAAAUAGGUUCAUAAAACAUGUCAGGAAAAUGUCUGUCCUAUUUUACUUCAAAAUAAAAGCAUAAAAUGUAUAUUUAUAUUUA